AAAUCAGGCCACCUGAGCCAGCAGCGGCAACCCGCUUGGGUCCCCUUCCAUGCUGUGGAAGCUUUGUUCUUUCACUCUUCACAAUAAAUCUUGCUGCUGCUCACUCUUUGGGUCCGCACUGCCUUUAUGAGCUGUAACACUCACCACGAAGGUCUGCAGCUUCACUCCUGAAGCCAGCGAGACCACAAACCCACCGGGAGGAACGAACAACUCCGGAUGCGCCGCCUUUAUGAACUGUAACACUCACUGCGAAGGUCUGCAGCUUCACUCCUGAAGCCAGCGAGACCACGAACCCACCGGGAGGAACGAACAACUCCGGAUGCGCCGCCUUUAUGAACUGUAACACUCACUGCGAAGGUCUGCAGCUUCACUCCUGAAGUCAGCAAGACCACGAACCCACCGGGAGGAAGAAACUCUGGACACAUCUGAACAUCUGAAGGAACAAACUCUGGACACACCAUCUUUAAGAACUUUAACACUCACCGCAAGGGUCCACGGCUUCAUUCUUGAAGUCAGCGAGACCAAGAACCCACCGGAAGGAAUCAAUUCUGGACACAUUUUGGUGACCACGAAGGGACCAUUGACUAUUGCCAAGCAUUAAGGUGGCAGGAGUGGAAUCUUGGAUUCACCACACCCGAGUUACAUUUUGGACAUCCCCUGAGGAACCUGCAGGACUGUCAGCUCAGGAGUCUCAAGCCAGACCAGCCUCGAUACACCUGCGAACCAUUGGAGGACUUGCAUCUCCUAUUUCGGAAGGAAACAUCCCAGACUAAAAAGGCUCCUACCGCUGAUCCUGAAGAAAAAUCCCUUUCUCCUUAAAAAAGAUAAGUGAAAACCUACAUAAUCUUUAACACCUCUCCUUGCCCCUUUAAUGGAAUCCUUUUACUAUUUCAUCAUAUUAUUAAGCAGCAUACUAACCAUACUCUUUGCGAUAGGACUGUAUACUGUAGCUCCUGCUGGGAGAAAAAUCCUAAUCACAUCAACCUUCUAUCUUCCUUCCUUCUGACAGCAAUUUACUCCUGCCUUUAACUCAGACUGGAUAAAAUGGUCUCGUCUUCCAGAGCACCCUCUUUACCUUCCUAUUUACUCUUUGCCUAUCUAUCCCUCCUGCUUCCUUGGAUACCUCAUACAAUUGCCCCUCCCCUUCCACUAGCUCCUAAUUACCUCUACAAGUCUCUCAACUUAACCUACUCUCUGUUAAACCAGUCCAAUCCUUCCCUGGCAAAUGACUGUUGGCUUUGUAUCUCUCUAUCAACCUCUGCUUACACUGCCACUCCCAUUCCUGCAAAAAACUGGGUCUUUACCAAAUUAACCUACCACCCUCGUUAUGAAGGAAAAGACCCUUUCUGACUUUUAAAUAUGCAAUCAUUAGCCAACUUCCCCAUCUCUGAUAGGAACAAGAAUACCCUAACAGGAUGUGCAAUCCAACUUUUACGUUCUUACAUUUCCAACCUCACCUAUUACACAAGCAAUGAAAAGCCCAUACACGGCCCUGUAACUACAAAUACUAUCUUAACUUUCCAAGCCCCUUUAUGCAUCCAACGCAACCUGUUAUCAGGCCUGCCCCUGGGGCACUUACUACCCCAUCAGUGUAAUUACACGCUACAACUUCAAGCCCCAACUGAUCAUAGUAACUUCUGAGUCACCCAAACAGCUCCAUUUAGAUGGCUUGUCUGCUUCUUGGGGCCCCCAAAAAUCAUCACCUCCUCCCUGCUUAACAAAUAGUCCAGGGUUUGUAAUGGCAAACAUACUCCCUGCAUGACCAUUCACCCCUGCACCCCCUGCAGCAGCGCCCCCACCACUAGUGAAUGCCUUCUCAUCCCCUCUUUCAAUCACUCUCUCGAGUGGUUCCUAGUAGAUAUAAAAUGUUUUUUUCUCCAAUGGGAAAAUAGAACACAGGGAGCCACUCAGUUUGCUCCCAACACCCCUUUCCAGCCGCUCACUGGAGCUACCUUGGCAAGUACUCUAGGAGUAUGGGAAAAUGAAAACAACAAAUUCACACAUCUUUUUAACAUACACAACCAGUUCUGUCUACCCAGCUAAGGUAUACUCUUCUUAUGUGGAAUGUCGACCUAUAUCUGCCUCCCCACUAACUGGACAGGCACCUGCACCUUAGUCUUUCUAAGUCCCAACAUUAAUAUUGCCCCGGGAAGUCAGACCUUAUCAGUACCCCUCAAAGCUCAAGUCCGUCAGCGCAAAGCCAUACAACUAAUACCCCUACUUAUAGGGUCAGGAAUGGCUACUGCUACAGGAACUGGAAUAGCCAGUUUAUCUACUUCAUUAUCCUACUACCACACAUUCUCAAAGGAUUUCUCAGACAGUUUGCAAGAAAUCACGAAAUCUAUCCUUACUCUACAAUCCCAAAUAGACUCUUUGGCAGCAGUGACUCUCCAAAAGCGCUGAGGCCUAGACCUCCUCACGGCUGAGAAAGGAGGAGUCUGCACCUUCUUAGGGGAAGAGUGUUGUUUUUACCCUAACCAGUCAGGGAUAGUACUAAAUGCCGCCCGGCAUUUACAGGAAAAGGCUUCUGAAAUCAGACAACGCCUUUCAAACUCUUAUACCAACCUCCGGAGUUGGGCAACAUGGCUUCUCCCCUUUCUAGGUCCCGUGGCAGCCAUCUUGCUGUUACUCGCCUUUGGGCCCUGUAUUUUUAACCUUCUUGUCAAAUUUGUUUCCUCUAAAAUCAAGGCAAUCAAGCUACAGAUGGUCUUACAAAUGGAACUCCGAAUGAGUUCAACUAACAACUUCUACUGAGGACCCCUGGACCGACCCGCUGGCCCUUCCACUGGCCUAAAGAGUUUCCCUCUGGAGGACACCACAACUGCAGGGCCCCUGCUUCACCCCUAUCCAGCAGGAAGUAGCUAGAGCAGUCAUUGGCCAAAUUCCAAACAGCAGUUGGGGUGUCCUGUUUAGAGGGGAAAUUGAGAGGUGAAGCCAGCUGGGCUUCUGGGUUGGGUGGGGACUUGGAGAACUUUUCUGUCUAGCUAAAGGAUUGUAAAUGCACCAGUCAGUGCUCUGUGUCUAGCUAAAGGUUUGUAAAUGCACCAAUCAGCACUCUAUAAAAAUGGACCAAUCAGCACUCUGUAAAAUGGACCAAUCAGCUCUCUGCAAAAUGGAUCACUCAGUAGGAUGCAGGUGGGGCCAAAUAAGGGAAUAAAAGCAGGCCACCUGCACCACCAGCAGCAACCCACUUGGGUCCCCUCCACACAGUGGAAGCUUUGUUCUUUUGCUCUUCACAAUAAAUCUUGCUGCUGCUCACUCUUUGGGUCCGCACUGCCUUUAUCAGCUGUAACACUCACCACGAAGGUCUGCAGCUUCACUCGUGAAGCCAAUGAGACCACAAACUCACCGGGAGGAAUGAACAACUCUGGAUGCGCUGCCUUUAUGAGGUGUAACACUCACCACGAAGAUCUGCAGCUUCACUCCUGAAGCCAGCGAGACCAUGAACCCACCGGGAGGAAUGAACAACUCCGGACGCGCCGCCUUUAUGAACUGUAACACUCACUGCGAAGGUCUGUGGCUUCACUCCUGAAAUCAGCGAGACCACGAACCCACCAGAAGGAAGAAAUUCUGGACACAUCUGAACAUCUGAAGGAACAAACUCCGGACACACCAUCUUUAAGAACUUUAACACUCACCGCGAGGGUCCACAGCUUCAUUCUUGAAGUCAGUGAGACCAAGAACCCACUGGAAGGAACCAAUUCCGGAUACAAAAUGUCUCCAUGCAUGCCUCACCUGCAGUGCCAUACGCUGGUUGAUAUUAAUAAUAAGACAGAUUUUGCAGAGCAUUGUUGGUGCGUAUGCUACCCAUACUCCUAUCGACCAGGCUUGCACCUUCCAGGGCCAUGCUUUCCAGCCUAAACAAUCACAGAUCAGGCCCAGACUGCACUCCCUGGGAGCUUUGGAAAAAGCUGCAUCAAACCAGAGCUUCUCCCCAAGCCCAGCAAACCACUCAUGGCUCAGGUAGUCCUUCCUGGAAGACCAAAGUGUUGGAAGUAAAUGCUUAUUCCCCGAUGUUACAGAGAAGAAUCCGCAAUUAGACAAAAUGUUUCCUCAACAGGAAACUCUUUUUACUCUUUGCAGAAAGGGUGGUGCCUGUCAGCAAUCCUGCCAGGAGUACCCACAAAGUAAAAAAGAUACUAGAAUAGUUUUGCCUUACACAUGAGGUCCCUAUUGCUGUGUCCUGACUCCAUUGGCUGGAGCCAGACCUCACAAUCUAAACUAAAACCCGAUUGGCUAACAGUUCAAAACUUUUUAAAAUAGGUAAAGGCAGUGAGGAACAAAGGAAAAAAAGGAAGUUGCUUAUGAAAGGACUUAGAAAAGUAAUAAUAUUCCCAAAUAAGGGAGGAGGGUAGGCUGCAAGCUGGGACAUGCCUGGGCAUGUCCAGCACGAAUAUUCUGACUAAGGUACAAGGACAUAGAAUGUACUACAUGCCUGUGAGCAUGUUUAACAGAUACUGAAGUCAGAGUAUGCUUAUUCUGUUACCUUUGCUACAUAAGGCUUAACAGAGAGUUAUUACUAUAAAAUAAGAAACUUAAAGUUAGUUUUGAGAAAAGAUAUCAAUAACAUUUAUGAUUUAAAGGGAUUUGAAGAGGAACUUUUGCUUUCUACACAAAGCCUCCUCAUUCAUUGAAGAGGAAAACUCUUGGUGGGGACAAGAGUGAAUUUACUUUAAAUACCAAUCCACUGACUAAUCCCAAGUCUGGGAAUGCCUCCAAAAUGUUGAGUUGAUGUAUUAUUAUUUAUGUAGAAACACCCAUUUACUGUAAGUUUCCUUCAAAACAACCCUCGUUGCUGUUGCAGAAAUCAUAGGCUGUGACGCUGGUAGCCACCUACACAUUCCUUCUAGAACACGUAUAUUUUUCCCCAAGAUAUAAGCCCUGGGUCUAGGGGGUUGUGGUGCAGAGAUCUACCUAUCUUGUAGCCGCCCAAGACCACGUUUCUGUUUGUAAAUUUCCCUAAUAAAUCACCCAGAACCACA